rnacentral:lncRNA from 1 species
UUCCUAUUAAGGACAAAACACCUUGGUCUCCAAAAGCAUCCAAGACACCAGAACCUACUGUGAUUUUUCCAAGAGAAGACCCAACAAAAAAAGAUAAAGGUACUAGUGCUUUACAUGGAACUCAUUCCACUGAUGUUUAUAGCUUGUUAAUUUGUUUAAUUUAAGUCAGUUUAAGUUUUAACCAAGUGGGCCUCUUGCAGCCUUAUUUGUGCGCUAGCACAUUUUUCGGAUCUUCAUUGUCAUGUCUUGUGCAUGUAUUGUUUCAAACUUUCUUAAAGCGUUGGGCCCCAUACCUAAACUUGUACCUGAAAAAGUACAUAAGAAGGUCUUUGAUGAUGUAGUUGUGUUGGAGACAAAACCUGAGAAACUACCUGAUAAAAUACCUGUAACAGUGCCUGACAGCGGGCCUCAGGGAAGGCCUGAGUUGACGGAAAAGACCUCUGAGAUGCUGUCAGAGAAUGCACCAGCUCCUGAGAGAACAGUGGAAGAAGUUGGGAUAAUGGUGCCUGAAAAAUUACCUGGGAAGUUUCCAGGAAAAACAAAAGAGGCAGCUCCUCAUUGGAAGCCUCGGGUGGCAGAUGAAGACAGGAUUCCUGAGAAGCCAUCUGACAAGUUUCCUGAAAAGGUGACAAAGAAGCAAACAGAGAGGAUUUCUGCAGAUAAAGACGUUCCUGAAAUGCAGAUGAAGAGUCCUGAUAAAACACCUGAGAACGUGCCUGAACCUAAACCUGAAAAAGAGAGAGAAGAAAUGCAGCCUAAAGGUACAGCUGAGGCUAACCUCACCAAAUCAUAUUUACACCAUACCACAAAGUUAAUCAAACUGCAAACGUGGAUGAAAUCUUCUGAACUCUUACCAAUUCUUUUAAAUGUUUAAUGGCAUCUUUUAUGUCCUUUAACACAAGCUACUUAUAUCUUACAGUUUCUAUCUAAAAAAAAUUCUUUUUUACAAUGAUCCUUCAAUUAUGCACCCUCCUGAAUCCAAAACCGUUUAUUUUGUUAGAAGAAACAAAGAAGACUGAGAAGAUUCUACCCUCAGAGGUUCGACAACAGCAAACUGUCUCUGCUCCCAAAAAAGGAUUUACAACCUUUACUAAAACGGAACAAAUAAAAGAGGCUGAGAAAACGCAGGACGUUUAUGUGAUAGAGACAAUGACUCCAACAGAGAAGGUUUUGGAACAGGAAGAACUUGUGGAACAACAAACUGAAGUGUGGCAGAGACAUAAAGUGACCCCUGUGUUGUUAUCAGAAAAGGAUGUCUUUAGCACAACAGAACCAAAGGCUCAAGAACAAAAUUCUGAUUUGAAAGGUGAGAAUUCUAUCACUAAUGCUUCAAAAGGGAAAGACCGCAUGGUGAGCAGACGCAGCGUCAUCCCUAAAACAGAAGACACCAGGGUUGUAGUCCUGGAAUCCGCAUAUGACAGAGAGGAGGUUGUAACAGUGGAAGAGAACAAGAUAAUUGCAGAGCAGAUGUUUCAGUCAGAGCAAGAAUCAGCCAUUGAGCUGCCAGACAAGGACACGUCUAAACAACAAACUAGACCUAUAGUCACAAAAAAAAGUGACUUCGGUGUUAAAACAGAAAGCAGGCAGACACACAAGAGAGAGGGAACAAUUACGAUCAAAGACAUUCCUUCUGUUACAGAGGCAAAGCCUCCAUACAAGCAAGUGGGUCACAGUGUUAAGAUAAUAGCCACCAUGCCUGGAGAAACAUACAGCAGAAGUGAGGAGGGUACAGAUGUUUCAGUAGAACAUGUUCCAGUUCAAGAUAAAAUAGCUCAAACUAUUUUUCCUCAACUGAACAUUGUGAAGGACACCAGAGAAGGUACUUUAAGCACACCAGUCAUCUGUGAUUCAAAAGAGGAUCAAGCUAGUUUAACAGAAAAAAAGUCAGUGAAGGAAUAUGAGUCAUCGGAAAAGAAACAGAAGGAGAAGCUCAAACCUGAAAAACUAAUAGAGUCCAUUUUAGAUGUUAAGGUACAGAGGCCAAAAGCACUGGAACAGAAAACUAAGCUUAAGUCAGUUGCUGCAAAACCUGAAAGAGAUGACAAGAAAGAAGAUAUGUGCAAAGAUAUCCUAGUGGCAAAGGAAGAAUGUUUUCUAAAUGAGGAAAGAGAGAAGAGAGGGAUCCAAAGUCGACUGCCUUCCAGAGGUACAAAGACCAGUUUAUCAACUCUAACAUCUUGUUUAAGUACAUUGUUUUAGUUUUUUAUUUUUCCAACAUCAUGGUCAUGAACCUAAAGUUGUCAUUUCAGUCUUAACUUACAAUCCACUGGUCCCCAUCUUACUAGUAACUUCCUCGUAACAUACUCUCAUGUUUGUUCUUAAGAUUCUGACCUUUUCAGUAUUUUUGAAAGACUUCUUUUUUGUGUUGAAGUUCUCUUUUUGUUGCUCAUCAUUCUCUUAAAUAUGAAUACCUAGCAUUUAAAAGGAAAUUAUUAUUCUUUAAUUUAAUUAAAGACACAGAAACCAAGACUGAGACAAUCCCUUCUUCUUCAUCUCUGGGACAGCAAGUCAGGAUACAAGGAGAAAAGUCUGACAGAGGUACCACAGCUGCUAUCUUGUCUUUUUCAAUAACUAUUUUAC